GACCCAGUGGCGAAGUGGUAUCGCAUCUGCUAGACUUUCAGUGAAUGGAAUGUUCAGUUUCUGCGGAAGACACCCGUUCAAUUCGGGUCUGGGUCA